rfam:Actinobacillus succinogenes 130Z, complete genome.
CGUAUGGUGUAAGGUGGCUUGCGGGCCGACGUUAUGGCGAUACGGCUUCUGACAGAGGU